GAUUAGCCUGCGUCCGAUUAGCUAGUUGGUGGGGUAAAGGCCUACCAAGGCGACGAUCGGUAGCUGGUCUGAGAGGAUGGCCAGCCACACUGGAACUGAGACACGGUCCAGACUCCUACGGGAGGCAGCAGUGGGGAAUAUUGGACAAUGGGGGCAACCCUGAUCCAGCAAUGCCGCGUGUGUGAAGAAGGCCUGAGGGUUGUAAAGCACUUUCAGUGGGGAGGAGGAUAUUUUGGUUAAGAGCUGAGAUAUUGGACGUUACCCACAGAAGAAGCACCGGCUAACUCCGUGCCAGCAGCCGCGGUAAUACGGAGGGUGCGAGCGUUAAUCGGAAUUACUGGGCGUAAAGCGUGCGUAGGUGGUUUGGUAAGUUAUCUGUAAAAGCCCUGGGCUCAACCUGGGAAGGCCAGAUAAAACUGCUGAACUCGAGUAUAGGAGAGGGUAGUGGAAUUUCCGGUGUAGCGGUGAAAUGCGUAGAGAUCGGAAGGAACACCAGUGGCGAAGGCGGCUACCUGGCCUGAUACUGACACUGAGGCACGAAAGCGUGGGGAGCAAACAGGAUUAGAUACCCUGGUAGUCCACGCUGUAAACGAUGUCAACUAGCUGUUGG
rnacentral:rRNA from 1 species